UGUAGUGUAGCAUGCCCGUU
rnacentral:miRNA from 1 species